UACACUCCUGCGGGAGGCAGCAGUGGGGAAUUUUGGACAAUGGGCGAAAGCCUGAUCCAGCAAUGCCGCGUGUGUGAAGAAGGCCUUCGGGUUGUAAAGCACUUUUGUCCGGAAAGAAAUCCUUGGCUCUAAUACAGUCGGGGGAUGACGGUACCGGAAGAAUAAGCACCGGCUAACUACGUGCCAGCAGCCGCGGUAAUACGUAGGGUGCGAGCGUUAAUCGGAAUUACUGGGCGUAAAGCGUGCGCAGGCGGUUUGCUAAGACCGAUGUGAAAUCCCCGGGCUCAACCUGGGAACUGCAUUGGUGACUGGCAGGCUAGAGUAUGGCAGAGGGGGGUAGAAUUCCACGUGUAGUAGUGAAAUGCGUAGAGAUGUGGAGGAAUACCGAUGGCGAAGGCAGCCCCCUGGGCCAAUACUGACGCUCAUGCACGAAAGCGUGGGGAGCAAACAGGAUUAGAUACCCCUGUAGUCCCAUG
rnacentral:rRNA from 1 species